rnacentral:rRNA from 1 species
CAGUGGCGGACGGGUGAGUAACGCGUGAGCAACCUGCCCUUGUGUGGGGGACAACAGUUGGAAACGACUGCUAAUACCGCAUAACGUCAUGGGAUCGCAUGAUCUUGUGACCAAAGAUUUAUUGCGCAAGGAUGGGCUCGCGUUGGAUUAGAUAGUUGGUGAGGUAACGGCCCACCAAGUCGACGAUCCAUAGCCGGACUGAGAGGUUGAACGGCCACAUUGGAACUGAGAAACGGUCCAGACUCCUACGGGAGGCAGCAGUGGGGAAUAUCGGGCAAUGGGCGAAAGCCUGACCCAGCGACGCCGCGUGCGGGAAGAAGGUCUUCGGAUUGUAAACCGCUUUUAUUAGGGACGAAGCAUGACGGUACCUAAUGAAUAAGCCACGGCUAACUACGUGCCAGCAGCCGCGGUAAUACGUAGGUGGCAAGCGUUGUCCGGAUUUACUGGGUGUAAAGGGCGUGUAGCCGGGUCGGCAAGUCAGAUGUGAAAUCCACGGGCUCAACUCGUGAACUGCAUUUGAAGCUGCUGAUCUUGAGUAUCGGAGAGGCAAUCGGAAUUCCUAGUGUAGCGGUGAAAUGCGUAGAUAUUAGGAGGAACACCAGUGGCGAAGGGCGGAUUGCUGGACGACAACUGACGGUGAGGGCGCGAAAGCGUGGGGAGCAAACAGGAUUAGAUACCCUGGUAGUCCACGCUGUAAACGAUGAAUACUAGGUGUGGGAGGACUGACCCCUUCCGUGCCGCAGUUAACACAAUAAGUAUUCCACCUGGGGAGUACGACCGCAAGGUUGAAACUCAAAGGAAUUGACGGGGGCCCGCACAAGCAGUGGAUUAUGUGGUUUAAUUCGAAGCAACGCGAAGAACCUUACCAGGCCUUGACAUCGUGAUGACCGCCCCUUAAUCGGGGCUUCCCUUCGGGGCAUCACAGACAGGUGGUGCAUGGUUGUCGUCAGCUCGUGUCGUGAGAUGUUGGGUUAAGUCCCGCAACGAGCGCAACCCCUGCCUGUAGUAGCCAGCACGUUACGGUGGGAACUCUACAGGGACUGCCGGGGUCAACCCGGAGGAAGGUGGGGAUGACGUCAAAUCAUCAUGCCCCUUACGGCCUGGGCGACACACGUGCUACAAUGGCACAACAAAGAGACGCGAUCCCGCGAGGGGGAGCAAACCUCAAAAAUAGUGUCCCAGUUCGGACUGUAGUCUGCAACCCGACUACACGAAGCCGGAAUCGCUAGUAAUCGCGGAUCAGAAUGCCGCGGUGAAUACGUUCCCGGGUCUUG